rnacentral:miRNA from 1 species
CCUUUCCAACGCCUCCCAUGCC